GGUGGUAAUGCCGGAUGCUCCAUCACACUGCAUGGUGUGUUGGGAAAGCCUUUGCGGCAUGGGAUGGGGUCGCGUCCUAUCAGCUUGAUGGCGGGGUAACGGCCCACCAUGGCUUCGACGGGUAGCCGGCCUGAGAGGGCGACCGGCCACAUUGGGACUGAGAUACGGCCCAGACUCCUACGGGAGGCAGCAGUGGGGAAUAUUGCACAAUGGGCGCAAGCCUGAUGCAGCGACGCCGCGUGAGGGAUGGAGGCCUUCGGGUUGUAAACCUCUUUUGUUAGGGAGCAAGGCAUUUUGUGUUGAGUGUACCUUUCGAAUAAGCACCGGCUAACUACGUGCCAGCAGCCGCGGUAAUACGUAGGGUGCAAGCGUUAUCCGGAAUUAUUGGGCGUAAAGGGCUCGUAGGCGGUUCGUCGCGUCCGGUGUGAAAGUCCAUCGCUUAACGGUGGAUCCGCGCCGGGUACGGGCGGGCUUGAGUGCGGUAGGGGAGACUGGAAUUCCCGGUGUAACGGUGGAAUGUGUAGAUAUCGGA
rnacentral:rRNA from 1 species